rnacentral:rRNA from 1 species
UACGGAGGGUGCAAACGUUGCUCGGAAUCAUUGGGCGUAAAGCGCACGUAGGCGGUCCGUUAAGUCGGGAGUGAAAGCCCCAGGCUCAACUUGGGAAGUGCUUUCGAAACUGGCGGACUUGAAUACUGAAGAGGAUCGCGGAAUUCCCGGUGUAGAGGUGAAAUUCGUAGAUAUCGGGAGGAACACCAAUGGCGAAAGCAGGCAACUGGACUAUUACUGACACUCAGCUGCGAAAGCUAGGGGAGCAAACAGG